rnacentral:lncRNA from 1 species
UAAAACUGUACUGUGCCUUUUUUUUUCUCCUUUGUUUUUGAGAUGGAAAAAACUCCUCUUCCAAGGUGUUAUUUUUGUCACUGGGUCUGGAGGCACCAGACUUACCAAGAGCUAGGUCUGCUGACCUCAAACAGAAGCAGAGCUCAGUUUUCAGACAUCAGCAAAAGCUAUGCAGAAGCAAGCUGCAGAGCACAGAGCAAUGCAGCUCAUCUGAGUCACCUUUUAGAAAAGCAAAUUAAAGCAAUUUGUAUCUGUGGGCCAUUUUAUGGUGUGUGCAUAUACACCGAGUUAAUGCACAGCCCCACUGUUGCUGAAAUAUGGAUUUCAUACAGAAGAGAACUAGGAAAGACUGUGUACAGUAUAAAUAGGGAGCAUGAUCAAGUCACCAAAUCCUUCUCACCUCAAUAUCACAUAUUUCAGGGACCAAUACUGUAGCCACCAGCCAGGUGGAUGCUUACAUUUAAAUGCAAUUAUCUAAGAACCCAGGGGGGGAGGAGCACACCUGUGGUAAAGUGCUUGCUUUGCAAGUCUGAAGAACUGAGGGUUUUUUUUUUGUGUGUGUUUCUUUUGUUUAUUUGUUUGAGUUUUAAAUCCAAGCAUGAAGGCAUCUCUUUCUAAUCCCAGAACUAGAAAGACAAACCAGAAGGAAGGUUCUGUAGGGCUUGCUUGGCAGGUUCUAGACUAAUAAGAGACCCCACUCCGUCUCAGAAAAUAAAAUAGAAACAGAGACAAAGAAGAAACAAAGAAAGAAACAAAGAAAGAAAGAAAGAA